UGGUGUUUAAGUUUACAUGUUGUUUAUUUGGGGUCUUUAUUUGAUUUCAGUUUUACUUUAUGCUUGUGACUGGAAUCUAAAUUAUGACUGUACUGGUGUCCCUUAUGAUACUUUAUGUGUACAGAAUUUUCUUAUUAUUAAUAAUUUAUUUAUUUAUUGUUUUACUUUUCAGCACCUGCUUUGGGGAGGUGGAAUUAUAAUGUAUCUUUAGACACAUGCCUCUUUAGUAUAUUUUGUUGAAUUUGAUAGAAGUUCGUCUCAGGAACCUAUUAGGAUCCUACAUAGACAGGAUUAAGGGCUGUUGUAACACGCCCCAUACUGCAGUAGUUUACAGGUUUCCGCUUACAGUCAAUCAGCAUUCAGGGAGACGUGUCAAGAAUCAUACUUCUGAGAAUUUCACAUCACUUGUUUUGACGCGGCUGAUUUUGAUUGGAGAUCGAACAAACACCAGUCA